GAUUAGAGUUUGAUCCUGGCUCAGAGUGAACGCUGGCGGCAGGCCUAACACAUGCAAGUCGAGCGGCAGCGCGGGGGCAACCCUGGCGGCGAGCGGCGGACGGGUGAGGAAUACAUCGGAAUCUGCCUUGUUGUGGGGGAUAACGUAGGGAAACUUACGCUAAUACCGCAUGAGACCGUAAGGUGAAAGUGGGGGAUCGCAAGACCUCACGCGACAAGAUGAGCCGAUGUCGGAUUAGCUAGUUGGUGAGGUAAAGGCUCACCAAGGCAACGAUCCGUAGCUGGUCUGAGAGGAUGAUCAGCCACACUGGGACUGAGACACGGCCCAGACUCCUACGGGAGGCAGCAGUGGGGAAUAUUGGACAAUGGGCGCAAGCCUGAUCCAGCCAUGCCGCGUGUGUGAAGAAGGCCUUCGGGUUGUAAAGCACUUUUGUUGGGAAAGAAAUCCUGUCGAUUAAUACUCGGCGGGGAUGA
rnacentral:rRNA from 1 species